GAGAUAUUUAAGCUGGGGCGGUGUGUGCUCAUGCUUAUGAAGAGUGUAUUUUGACCAGGUGACAUUCACAACCCAAGAUCCUGAUUGUGGACCAGAGGUGAACUUCCAAGUUCAGAGAAAUGCCAGGUCUGGGUCAUGCCUGUGGAAAUCAUUAGGAUCCUGACAAAUGACUGAUGUGAUUAGAGCUCGGAGCUCCGUGUGGAGGCGGGCCAAGUCAGGAGUAGCUACUCAGGAAUACAUCUGUUAAUUCCUUGUUGAGAGUGCUCCUGGACAGACCGACAGACAAUAAGAAUGAUGAGGCAUAAG